UUUAAUAGAUAAUUAAUUCAUCAAUUCUCUCCAAAUAAUUACUUCAAUCAUGUAAGAAUCGAAACCCAUCUUUUUUUGUUAAUUUUGAUCGCACAUAUUGGUAGGAUUUGAUAAAAUUAAAGGUUUUAAAUAGUUUCAAAAUUACUUACGGUGGGGAAAUAUUGGUUUUCCCAACCGGAAAAAAAUUAUACGGUUGGGAAAUAUGAACUCCGAACCUUAUUUUAUCCUUAGUUUUUCUUCUGGUUGGGAGUUCCAACCGGAUAUGGUGAUUACGGUUGGGAAAAUAUAAACUCCCAACUGUAUUAUAGUCUGGAUUUUUUUAAAGUUGGGAGUCUCAAUCGGAUGUGGUAGUUACGAUUGGGAAUCUUCAACUUUCCCAACCGUAUGUUAAUAUAAAAGAAAAACAUAAACUUUUUUUUAUUGAUUUUCAAACCCUAACUAUAAAUUAGUCUAACUUUAUUACUAAUAAUAUUUAAUUUAUAGUUAAUCUAAUUAUUAGCAUUAACUAAUGGAGAAUAUUUCAUAACUAUAGGUUAAGGGGUUUUGUUGAUUACUAUUCAUGAUUCUCUAUUUUCUCAUCUCAUGAGCCCUUAAAAACCAAAAUUUGGAACCCCUAUAAUAGGUUUUAAUUUAUAUGGAUAUUUAACAAUCAUAAAAGCUCCUAGGUAUUCAAUUAGGAUAUGUAAGAAAUCAUUAAAUAUUCAUGAUAUAUAAGAUUGUUUUAGGUUCCAUAAAAAUCCUAAGUAUUCAAUUUAUUUAAGAUUUUUUAGAAUGGUUAAGGGACAAGAUAUAUAUGGAUUCCUAGGCAAAGUACUAUAGUGCCCCUUUUCCCUUCCCUACCCUUCACAUGUAGGGGAAAAUCUUGAAUUGCCGAUCACCGUGGUCUCUCAUAUCCCUACUUGUGUAGGGAUAUCCCUUCCUUACUACCCAAAUUGGAUCAGAUCUGAUCCAGGUAGUAGGGAAGGGAAAUGACACGGAAACUAAAUUUCUGCUUUACGAAAGGUGAGUAUCUGUUUGGCAGUUGAAACAGAUACUCAGUUUCCGUGACAUUUUACACGGUAACUGAGUUUUCGUUUCCGUAGUUUUUUUUGUUUGACCUUUUUUAUUUUACACCUCUCUCACACCCCAUCCUAACCAUCCAUCGUUCCCAACGACUCUAUCUUCUCCAUUUUCAGAUCACAAUGGUCAUUCUCAAAAAUCCCUAUAAAUACAACUCUAAUACUCUAUUCAAAACACUCCAAACCAUCUUCUUAAAAAUUGUUUUAUUCACUAAAAUCUCUCAAAUUAUCUUCUUUAAGAGUUUUAUUUAUUUAUUUUGCUCAUUAAUGUCGGAGACUCAAAGGGAAAAAAGGAAACAUAGAGCGAAAUUUAGUAAUUUUGAAGAUGUUCACAUUGUUACUAUGUACCGAUUUUCACAAAAUUGUAGAAGCUUGUGGUGGGAAUCCACACGAGGGUACUAUAAAAAGCAUUCGUAAUAGGUUUAGCGUAAUCAAACACGAAGUGGAUAACUUUUCUGAAUGCGUUGUAAGAGUCUUUGCAAGUAGUCCGGGUUUGGACUAUAAUAACCGGAUGAUAAUGGCGAGAAGCAACUAUAUUGAAAUACACACAAAAAAAAAAAACAUUUUCUCGAAUGUUGAGUAUGAAAUGCUUAAAGAUGUUCCAAUUGUACAAGUAGGUGUUGUUGAAGAUAUGGAUCAAGAUUCUAAUCUUAUGUCAUUUCAAUAUCAUGGAAAUUUCACAAAUAUGUUUAAUACUCAAACUCCAUCUUCUCAGAAUCUAUCUAUAAGCCAAUUCGUCGAAACUUCAUUUGUAAAUCAAUUUCCAAACGCUUAUAAUGUCCCUUACGGUAUCCCUUUUCCAGCAGGAUAUACUCCUAGUACGAACCCAAAUAUAAUACCUGGAACGCCGUCAGGUGGAUGGCCAAGCUGCAUGGAUGAACAAACAUGAUUUUCCACUAUAGAAAAUCAAAGCAAAAUAAACAGAUUUAUUGCAGUGGAUGGGAAAGAUAAAGAGACACAGAUAGAAGGAAAUUUCAUUCAUUAGAAUUCAUAUUGAAUAGUUGGAGCAACUCAAUUCAAAGAUAGACAUGGAAAAUGAUAAUGUUUUUUUGGACAGACAGUUACUUAUCAAAGUGUCUCCAAAUUUUGUAUAGAAAAGAGAUUGGAGAUGUUUUAUGGACAGUUAUCACUUAUUUUGAUUAACCACAAUAUAUAUUUUGUGUAGGAAGUGGUUAUUAAUAUCUUUAUUGUUGGACACAAAGUCACA